UGCGGGCGUGUGAGUGUGUGUGUGUGAGUGUGUGUCGCUCCGGGUCCACGCUCAUGCCACACACCCACACGCCGCACU
rnacentral:pre_miRNA from 1 species